CUGUGAGCUGCAACAGCAAAUUACUCAGGCUUUGCGCAAGUAACUUGGAAAGCAUUGGGGAGAUGGCAUGAAAUGUUUCAGACAUUCAACUGGAGGAAUCAGGAGGGAGAGACCUAAAAACUUCAUACUGCCAGAUAUCUGCAAGAAACUGACGGAGACACUGAGUGUAAUUAUCCCAAGUUCUUAAUUUCCUUUAACUUCAGUGAGAAUACAGAGG
rnacentral:lncRNA from 1 species